CCUACGGGAGGCAGCAGUGGGGAAUAUUGCACAAUGGGGGAAACCCUGACGCAGCAACGCCGCGUGAGCGAGGAAGUACUUCGGUAUGUAAAGCUCUAUCAGUAGGGAAUAGAACAGACGGUACCCGAAAAGGAAGCCCCGGCUAACUACGUGCCAGCAGCCGCGGUAAUACGGAGGGGGCAAGCGUUAUCCGGACUUACUGGGGGUAAAGGGUUCGUAGGUGGAAAGUUAAGUCUGAAGUGAAAGCCGGAGGCUCAACUAUCGUCGCGCGUUUGAAACGGGCGAGCUAGAGUGCGGGAGAGGUAAGGGGAAUGCCUGGUGUAGCGGUGAAAUGCGUAGAUAUCAGGAGGAACACCGGUGGCGAAGGCGUUUUACUGGACCGAAACUGACGCUGAGGAACGAAAGCGUGGGUAGCAAAUGGGAUUAGAUACCCUGGUAGUC
rnacentral:rRNA from 1 species